GAUGAAGAACGUAGCGAAAUGCGAUAAGUAAUGCGAAUUGCAGAAUUCAGUGAGUCAUCGAAUCUUUGAACGCACAUUGCGCCCCCUGGUAUUCCGGGGGGCAUGCCUGUUCGAGCGUCAUUACAACCCUCAAGCUCUGCUUGGUGUUGGGCCCCGCCGCCCCGGCGGGCCCUAAAGUCAGUGGCGGUGCCAUCCGGCUCCGAGCGUAGUAAUUCUUCUCGCUCUGGAGGCCCGGGUGUGUGCUCGCCAGCAACCCCCAAUUUUUUUCAGGUUGACCUCGGAUCAGGUAGGGAUACCCGCUGAACUUAAGCAUAUCAAUAAGCGGAGGA
rnacentral:misc_RNA from 1 species